rnacentral:rRNA from 1 species
GGCGAUCAGAUACCGCCCUAGUUCUGACCGUAAACGAUGCCAACUAGCGAUUCGGCGGUGGCUACAAGGCCCUGCUGAGGAGCUUCCCGGAAACGAAAGUCUUCCGGUUCCGGGGGAAGUAUGGUUGCAAAGCUGAAACUUAAAGGAAUUGACGGAAGGGCACCACCAGGAGUGGAGCCUGCGGCUUAAUUUGACUCAACACGGGAAAACUCACCCGGCCCGGACACCGUAAGGAUUGACAGAUUGAUAGCUUUUUCAUGAUUCGGUGGUUGGUGGUGCAUGGCCGUUCUUAGUUCGUGGAUCGAUUUGUCUGGUUUAUUCCGAUAACGAGCGAGACUCCAGCCUACUAACUAGUACGAGCAUUGCCUCUGUGCUCGGCACUUCUUAGAGGGAUUGACUGCGUCUAGCGGUACGAAACGGAGCAAUAACAGGUCUGUGAUGCCCUUAGAUGUCCGGGGCUGCACGCGCGCUACACUGGCAAAGGCAACGUGCUUGUCCGUCUCCGAAAGGAGCCGGUAAACCCUUGAAAAUUUGCCGUGAUUGGGAUCGGAAAUUGCAAUUAUUUUCCGUGAACGAGGAAUUCCUAGUAAGUGCGAGUCAUCAGCUCGCGUUGAUUACGUCCCUGCCCUUUGUA